UACGGAGGAUGCAAGCGUUAUCCGGAAUGAUUGGGCGUAAAGCGUCCGCAGGUGGCAAUAUAAGUCUGCUGUUAAAGAGUCUAGCUCAACUAGAUAAGAGCAGUGGAAACUACAUAGCUAGAGUACGUUCGGGGCAGAGGGAAUUCCUGGUGUAGCGGUGAAAUGCGUAGAGAUCAGGAAGAACACCGGUGGCGAAGGCGCUCUGCUAGGCCGUAACUGACACUGAGGGACGAAAGCUAGGGGAGCGAAUGGG
rnacentral:rRNA from 1 species